rnacentral:misc_RNA from 1 species
GAUGAAGAACGUAGCGAAAUGCGAUACUUGGUGUGAAUUGCAGAAUCCCGUGAACCAUCGAGUCUUUGAACGCAAGUUGCGCCCGAAGCCAUUAGGCCGAGGGCACGCCUGCCUGGGCGUCUCACGUCGUUGCCCCCCCCAUCUACUCCUUCGGGAUUGCGGGGGGCGGAUGAUGGCCUCCCGUGUGCCUCGCCGCGCGGUUGGCAUAAAUGCCAAGUCCUCGGCGACGCACGCCACGACAAUCGGUGGUUGCGAAACCUCGGUUGCCCGUCGUGUGCGGUCGUCGCGCAUCGAGGGCUCGAAAAAAUUGCCGGGUUCCGGCUCGGCUUUCAACGCGACCCCAGGUCAGGCGGGGUUACCCGCUGAAUUUAAGCAUAUCAAUAAGCGGAGGA